GUCUGUGCAAAGCAGCGGCAGUAUCGUAGCCGAUGAGGUUUAGCCGAGGCGCGAUUAUUGCCAUUUGAAAACUUUUCCACAAUACCUCGCCAAGCCGGCUUGCAACACAGUCGGCGUCGGCAAUUUUUGCGAGCUCCUUUAGGGAG